GCCUUCGUGGUGUAGUGAUCAGCACGCUCGUAUUCGAGAGGUCCGUGGUUCGAGUCCCGGCGAGGGCA
rnacentral:tRNA from 1 species